ACGGGUGCGCCGCCCGCUCGACGGCCACGCCACGCCGCGGCGCGCCGCUCAGCUGCCCCGGCACCCGCCCUUCCUCGCCGAGCUCGGGAUCGACGUCUCCCGCACCUCCUCGCGCCCGUUCCGGGCUCCGCAUCCGGCCCCUCCCCGUCCCCAACCCCAUUCCGCAGCAGGCGACCAGCACAACAUCCCGAAUCCCCCACCUCGCAUUCGGCUCGCCGUAGCUCCUCCUCCGCGUCCCGCCGCCCCCGGCACGGUAUGAUUGGUGCCGCCUCACACCUCCUCUCCGUUUACCCUGUGGCUAUAGACGAGCUCCAGAUCGGGAAAGGGGAAAAAUUGCCUUGUUUUAAUUUAUCCACUUGUGAGACGCUGGGCACGGACAUGAAGAUGCGUGCGAUUUGAAAUUAAUUCAACGUUUAGUUUAUUGUAGUGGACAUGAUGGAUUGACGAAAAGAAUAGCAAAUGUCUUGCGUCUUUGUUUGUAGCCAAAAACGUUCAAGGAGAGUGGAAAGGGAACAUAUCAGGUGCACAUGGUGAUGCUAGCUGCUUGCUUGUUAUGGGUGGAAUUUGUCCGUGGACGGGGCAAAUGCACUGUGCUCCUUUGUCGGCCUUAAGGGCAGGCUGUUUCAGGGCCCGAACUCCUCGAUAAGAACUAACUUUUCUAUAUGUGAUUGAUGAACACACAUGUUAGCUUCAAGUAGGCCUUUUUGUGUAUUGAUCGAUAAACACGUGUGAUGUCGAGGAUGUCCUUUCGUGUCAUUUUUGGUAAACACAGCAAAACGUUCCUAAUUAUGUGGAGUAAUUGCAAUGUGUUAAUCCUACAUUUCGUUAUGGAAACUGAAACUGUUGAACAAAAUAAUCACCAUUAACCAAACUCUAUUGGUCAUGUGGUACAUUCCGUGAUCAAUCAGCCAUUCAUUACCCACAAAGGGUAUUUCAUGUAUACAGGCCACUAGCUGGGUAUCAAAACAUUGGGUUGCCAAACAAGCUACCUUCUCAGAUUCAGAUCAAUAGCUUCUCAGGUCCAACAAGUGAGCUUUUUGCACCAGUAGCUUUUGCAACCGAUUGACGGAAGUUUGUUUUGUCACCCAAGACCUAUCACUUGUCACCUAUUCAAAGUGCAGGGGGAAGGGAACGGUGCUGAUAAUGCAAGUGCUGGCCAAAAAAAAUGGCGCUGUGGAGCAUCUGAAACGCUGCUUCCCUUGGCUCAUAUGAAUGUCAGUUUAGGCCUUAGGAUAGAGCAAAGUAGCAUAAUCUCAAGCACAAGUUUACUAUGUCUGGGAUGGCAUUUGAUGAUUCACCUGCCCAAGUGAAUGUUGAAGGAGAUGUUUCAGAGAAAAAAGUAGAAGUUCAAGACCAGAAUGAAGUGGGUGGGAUGCCCUCACGACAAGAGGAGGAGGCAGCAAUUAAGAAAAAGUAUGAAGGAAUAUUGCCCAGAAAGACUCCUGCUUAUAUCUAAGAUUCUUAGCUAAGGGCUGGCAUGAUGCAUCUGUCAACAAGAUCACCAGUUUUCCACGCUGUUGAAUCGCAGCACAAGUUUACUAUGUCUGGGAUGGCAUCUGAUGAUUCACCUGCCCAAGUGAAUGUUGAAGGAGAUGUUUCGGAGAAAAAAAGUAGAAGUUCAAGACCAGAAUGAAGUGGGUGGGAUGCCCUCAAGACAAGAGGAGGUAUAGCAGACAAAUACAGAAAAGGGCUGGCCUGGUUAAAAACGGUUCAGGUUAGCAAGCAUCAUGGCCCGUAUCCAGAAGGUAGCUUCACGUUUGAGAGAAGGUGGCUUCGAACGAGACCUGAUCGUUUCCUUCGUCCUGGGCGACUUGGCUGGCUCUUGCUCAAUGGGAGUUGACAGGACAGAUCACGGCUAGCCAGUCAGGUUCGUUGUGAUGAGAUCCAGAAGCAAGCAGCAUGGCUCGAUGUGAUGAGCUGUACAAGAGGCGAUGAUGCGUUAUCAUCUCAGGCAGAUUUAUAUCGGAGGAGAUGAAUCGCGUUCGCGUGGCUCUUCUCUCGGUUCUGUUUUACUGAUGUAAAUUUUAGCUUAUUUUUAACUAGAGGAACGAUGUAAGUUUAACCAGACCAAUAAAACAACCGUGUAUGCUCUGCUUCCAA